rnacentral:lncRNA from 1 species
CUAGAUAAUGUCGGCAGCCCUUCUCUUUGAGAACCACUUUUAAUGAUUUAUUUUCCCCCUUAGUACCGAGCCACUGCACUGCCAGCAUUCAAGUACUACGUGACCUGUGCUUGCCUCAUAUUCUUCUGCAUCUUUAUUGUGCAGAUUCUCGUGUUGCCAAAAACUCCCACCCUCGGCAUCUCCUUUGGAGUUGCGUCGCUCUCACUUGCCUUCAUCCU